UGGGGAAUAUUGCACAAUGGGCGCAAGCCUGAUGCAGCCAUGCCGCGUGUGUGAAGAAGGCCUUCGGGUUGUAAAGCACUUUCAGCGAGGAGGAAGGUGGUGAGCUUAAUACGCUCAUCAAUUGACGUUACUCGCAGAAGAAGCACCGGCUAACUCCGUGCCAGCAGCCGCGGUAAUACGGAGGGUGCAAGCGUUAAUCGGAAUUACUGGGCGUAAAGCGCACGCAGGCGGUUUGUUAAGUCAGAUGUGAAAUCCCCGGGCUCAACCUGGGAACUGCAUUUGAAACUGGCAAGCUAGAGUCUCGUAGAGGGGGGUAGAAUUCCAGGUGUAGCGGUGAAAUGCGUAGAGAUCUGGAGGAAUACCGGUGGCGAAGGCGGCCCCCUGGACGAAGACUGACGCUCAGGUGCGAAAGCGUGGGGCAGCAAACAGGAUUAGAUACCCUGGUAGUCCAGCGCUGUAAACGAUGUCGAUUUGGAGGUUGUGCCCUUGAGGCGUGGCUUCCGGAGCUAACGCGUUAAAGUCGACCGCCUGGGGAGUACGGCCGCAAGGUUAAAACUCAAAGGAAUUGACGGGGUCAUAGCUGUUUCCU
rnacentral:rRNA from 1 species